rnacentral:rRNA from 1 species
UACGGAGGGUGCAAGCGUUAAUCGGAAUUACUGGGCGUAAAGCGCACGCAGGCGGUCUGUCAAGUCGGAUGUGAAAUCCCCGGGCUCAACCUGGGAACUGCAUUCGAAACUGGCAGGCUAGAGUCUUGUAGAGGGGGGUAGAAUUCCAGGUGUAGCGGUGAAAUGCGUAGAGAUCUGGAGGAAUACCGGUGGCGAAGGCGGCCCCCAGGACAAAGACUGACGCUCAGGUGCGAAAGCGUGGGGAGCAAACAGG